rnacentral:rRNA from 1 species
GAUGAACGCUGGCGGCGUGCCUAAUACAUGCAAGUCGAGCGAACAGACGAGGAGCUUGCUCCUCUGACGUUAGCGGCGGACGGGUGAGUAACACGUGGAUAACCUACCUAUAAGACUGGGAUAACUUCGGGAAACCGGAGCUAAUACCGGAUAAUAUAUUGAACCGCAUGGUUCAAUAGUGAAAGACGGUUUUGCUGUCACUUAUAGAUGGAUCCGCGCCGCAUUAGCUAGUUGGUAAGGUAACGGCUUACCAAGGCAACGAUGGUUAGCCGACCUGAGAGGGUGAUCGGCCACACGGGAACUGAGACACGGUCCAGACUCCUACGGGAGGCAGCAGUAGGGAAUCUUCCGCAAUGGGCGAAAGCUUGACGGAGCAACGCCGCGUGAGGGAUGAAGGUCUUCGGAUCGUAAAACUCUGUUAUUAGGGAAGAACAAAUGUGUAAGUAACUAUGCACGUCUUGACGGUACCUAAUCAGAAAGCCACGGCUAACUACGUG